rnacentral:rRNA from 1 species
CAGUGGAUUAUUCUAAACGGCCGCAGAAUUUUAACUGUGCUAAGGUAGCAUAAUCAUUUGUUCUUUAAUUGAGGACUAGUAUGAAUGGUUUAACGAAAUUACACUAUUUUUUUUAUAUCUAAUAAAAUUUUAUCUUAAAGUCAAAAAGCUUUAAUAAAAUAAAAAGACAAAAAGACCCUGUAGAGUUUAAUUUCUCAUGUUAAAAAUAAUCUUUUAGAAAUUUUGUUGGGGCAACAUGGAAAAAAUAAAUUUUUCUUAACUUAAAAUCCUAUAUAAAAUCAUUAAUUUAAUAAAACAAAAUAAAUUACCUCGGGGAUAACAGCGUAAUUUUCUUUGAGAGCCCAAAUCGAAAAGAAAAAUUACGAC